CCUUUCUCUGUCUACAAAACCAACUUCCUCGCCCAGCUCAUGGGAACACUUAUUCUGUUGUAUAGAAUGAAGUGUUGCUUGAUUCUAGAAUCAUGCCAUUAAGAACAUUCAUGAUUCAUGAGAGGAGAUCAAAAUAUCAACAUAAACAGGAGUUUGAAAGAAGUUGAUUUCAACCCUUGUGGAUGACUAUGAGAGAUUCAAGGCUUCAGUGGAGAAUGCACCUACAGAUAUGGUGGAAACAGCAAAAGAAAUAGAAUCAGAAGUGGAGCCUGAAGAUUAAACUGAAUUGCUGCAAUCUCAUGAUAAAACUUGAACAGAUGAGGAGUUGCUUCUUACAGGUGAGUAAAGAAAGUGCUUUCUUGAGAUGGGAUCUAUUUCAGGUGAAAGUGCUGUGAACAUUGUGAAAUGACAACAAAGGAUGAAUAAUUUUAUAUAAAUGUAGAUUACAAUAAAGUAGUGGGAGUGCUUGAGGGGAUUGACUCCAAUUUUGAAAGAUGUUCUAAUGUGGGUAAAAUACUAUCAAACAGCAUCACAUGCUACAGGGAAAUCUUUCAUGAAAGAGUCAAUGGAUGUAGUAAACCUCAUUGUUGUCUUAUUUUAUGAAAUUGCCAUGGCCACCCCAACCUUCAGCAACCACUGCCCUGAUUAAUCAACAGCCGUCAACAUGUCAACAUCAAGCCUAGACCCUCCACCAGAAAAAGAUUACAAGUCUCCGAAGGCUCGGAUAAUCAUUAGUAUUUCUCAGCAAUGAAGUAUUUUUGAAUUAGGGUAUGUGCACUGCUUUUUUAGACAUAAUGCUAUUGUACACUUCAUAGACUAUAGUAUACUAUAAACAUAACUGGUAUUCAGUGGGAAACAAAAAACAUGUGACACACUUGAUUGUGAUAUUUGCAGUAUUUGCAGACAGUAGUUUGUCACUGAACCCGCAAUGUCUCCAAGGUAUGCUUGUAUGUAACUAGAGGUUUUUUCAGUGGGAUAGACUCAAUAAGCCAAUUGCAUAUCCAUAAUCAAUUAAAUAUUUUCUUUUGUUUGACUUCCCUGUUUGUAUUAUAGAAAUCUCCUUCUUGCAUUCCUUUGAUGGAACUCACAAACCACUUCCUCUUUGGAGCUGCCUAAUUCAUGAAUCCCUGUUUGCUCAAACUCUUUAAAAAUUUUACUGUGCUUUGGUUUACCUUUUUAACCCUGCAAUGUGUAUCAAAGGGUGCUUAGCACAUAGUGAAUGGAGAUAUUAGUAGUUCUUCUCUGAUGCUUUCCAAGUUCGGCGAAAUCUUGAGGCUCUCCACUCACAUUUGCAAAUGCUAAACGCUCCUGUGGUGGAGAGAGCAGGGGGGCUGGUGUGUGGACACCCUCUGAGGUGUUCUCACUGGCCACUGGCUCCUUUUGUUGUCUCCCUUUCAAUUCAGUACCAGAACAUCCCUUCACCGGCAACUUUCGAGUGGGCCUGCUGAAACAAUCAAGGCAGUGCCUCCACUUAACUUUGAGAAGGUAGUGUGUGAGAGAUUUAGAAUAAGCAGCUCUGGAACUACUCCCAGUUUACUCUUAUAAUUACAUACACAAAAAAAUCAAAACCUCAGUUUAUUUGUCCAAAAAUGGGGAUAGUAUUCUUGUCCUACAUGAUGAGUGUACUAAUCCUUCCAGCCAGCAUUCACCUGGGGCUCUGUGCUCCAGGCAGGGUGAGGGUUAGGACUGCAUGUAGGUGCUGCCUUCACACCCGGAGCAGGCUGGAGCGAGUGGUGUGAAGCCUCCCAACCCCACGGCUGGGGGCAAAGGCUGUGCUAAGGCACCCGGACAUGGAGCUGGCCUGGCCUGAGGACUCAGAGUGGAAAGACAGGAAAGACACUGGCUGCGCUGAAGCGCUGGGACCCGGGAAGGGGCGUCUAGGCAAGAGCGCCUGUGAACAGGAUUUGUAAGCUGCUCUUGGUGACUUUUGGACAGACACUCUUACUUGCUUUACUGCUCCCCUUUGUCUUCUGCCCCCUUUCCCUAAAAGUAUUUCCAAAUGUGUGAUGCCCACCAGGUUCCUGGGCAGUGCAGUGGGAUGUCUGCUUGGUUUCUGCUGAUCCUCACAGAGCCUGGUGACUUCUUCCUCCCAGGUCUGUGGAUCAACACUGUCUCCCUGGCCUCUACCCAGCGCGCAGGACCCCUUAGCAGAGCAGGAGAACUCAGGUUGGAACUCAUUAUUGCAUGGUGCUUGUCUUGCCAUCUGUCCCCAUAAUGCCUUAAGUGACAAUGACAUAGGCAUCUGACAAUGUAUGUGGCCAUCACUUUUUAUCAUUUUAAGAUAUAUGGGCCUUCUUUUUCCAACUCUUUUCCCCCGCCAGACAGCCAGGAGCCCAGAGAAGGGUUGUGUUGUGUCCUUUACUGAGCCCCACAGGCCUGUGUGAGCCAGGGGCUUGGCAUGCCUGGGAAUAAGAGCGCCAGCCUUUGGCCUUCCCGCAGCCUCUCCUUGGGGCCUUUAGGGUCCCCACAGGCCCUCCCCUCCCCUCUGCAUUUUCCAGGAUCCAGCCAGCUGCCGGCACACUUUCGUCCUCCUCCGCACACGAGGAUCCCCAGGCCCAGCGGUGUUAGCCCAGAGAGGAGCGGCGUUUGGGAUGUGAUCCACAGCUGAUCCCUCGUGGCCCCUCCUCUCCCGAAUCCUGAAACAUGAGGAGGCCCUUCAGCUGCUGGCUCGGAGUCCGACUAUGGGAACUUUCUCCGGUCUACGGGGGCAGCAAGGGUCUCGCCUCAGGGACUUGGUUUAUUUAUCUAGCUGGACUCCAUCCCUUAAUAUCCUACUUACAGAGGAAGAGGCUUUAGCAGCUAAAUGCAGCCCCAUCCCCUCCUGUGGAGACUGUGAGCAGAAAAAGAACAGAUAUUUACAGAGGCCCGAGCCCCCCUUGUUGUUUUCUGCAAGGCUGUCGAGCUGGUGGAGCUUCAGGAUCCUGGUCAGGAACCCCGAACCCAGCGCUGGAGGCCCUGAAGAUCAGGGCACCCGACCCUCUUCCCAGCCGCCAAAGGCCUGUGUUGGUCUGAUUGUGGAUUCCAAGCUCUAAUUUCCAUCCAUCCUCCCAAUCCGAAUUCCCUUUGCAGACAUAAACACCAUCAGCAAUGUAGAGAAUGUGUUUCCUCAUCUUUGAAUAUUAACACUCAUCUGUUUAAUUGAGCUACUUUUUACAUACAUGUAAGAUGUGCUGCAAUUGCAAAAGAAACAUGUGCUUCGUGUUCUAUAAGCCAUAUCUUCCGCAAGACCUGCCAUCAAAUGAUUGCUCAAACAUUUGUUGAAUGGGAUGAGCAAUGGAGGUUCAGACAGGUGCCCUGACCUACCCAGGCUGGAGGGUAGGGAGCUAGAAAUUCAUACAACCAUGCCUUGUUCUACUUGUUUUGUGAAAGAAUCAUGUGACCAGUGACAAAGAGGCUGGGCAGCUGGGUCAGGCAGCAGGGACAGCGACUGAGCUGGGGGGACUACAGUGCUGUGCUCCUCUGCACCCGUGCUGGGAUGUCUGAGGCCAAGCUGACACUGGCCCCCCACAAUCCCUUGGGGCUGCUCCUCCUCAGGGAGUGGCUCUCCGGGUUUCCUGCUUGACUCCUGCUGCUCUUGUGUUGAAGGGCCGUCUCUGGGCAGCUCCCCCUGGCCCCUGGCCAGAGAGCCAGGCCCUGUCAGGCACGCACAUGGAGGAUGAGGGAGGUGCAGUUGUUUUCACAGGUGCAGACUCUAGAGGGACCCCACGUGGACUCUGUGGCUUCUGCCCCGACGCACUCGCGGGAGGACACAGCUCUGCCCGGAAGGGAGAGUGCUGAGCUGGGUCCCUGCUGCUCAUCUCUGUGGCAUCACCCUGUCAGUCCUUCCCUGUCACACAUAUGUUCCGCAAGACCUGCCGUCAAAUAUUUGCUCAGUCAAACAUUUGUUGAA
ensembl:lncRNA TMEM72-AS1 TMEM72 antisense RNA 1